rnacentral:rRNA from 1 species
CAGUCGCCGCGGUAAUGCGUAGGUGGCAAGCGUUGUCCGGAAUUAUUGGGCGUAAAGCGUGCGCAGGCGGUUGUGUAAGACAGGUGUGAAAUCCCCGGGCUUAACCUGGGAACUGCGCUUGUGACUGCACAGCUAGAGUAUGGCAGAGGGGGGUGGAAUUCCACGUGUAGCAGUGAAAUGCGUAGAGAUGUGGAGGAACACCGAUGGCGAAGGCAGCCCCCUGGGCCAAUACUGACGCUCAUGCACGAAAGCGUGGGGAGCAAACAGGAUUAGAUACCCGGGUAGUCCCUGUCUCAUAUAC